UUAAGACCUAAAAAUAUGCCGAAUAAUAAAACCCACAGAUUAAAAUUCAAAGGAUAUGGCGGUGUUUUUAUAUAAUCAGGGGAACCUGUUUCUUAAUUCGAUAGUCCACGAAAAUUCUACCUAUUUUAAUCAGCUUGUGUACUGCUGUCGUCAGUAGGCCUAUAAAAGAAAGCCUACAACUAAUACUAAAUUUUACGUCAAGUCAAAGUGCAGCUUAUAAAUGGGGGACAAUGGGUUACAACCUACACACAGACUACGAAUAAUCAAAAUAAAAAUGAUUUGAAGGUGGACUUGAAAGUAAUACCUAUAAAACCAUAGUAUAAAAAUUUCUAAAACAUGUACACAUCGCCCGUCACUCUCAUCUAAAGACG
rnacentral:rRNA from 1 species